rnacentral:misc_RNA from 1 species
GAUGAAGAACGCAGCGAAAUGCGAUAAGUAAUGUGAAUUGCAGAAUUCAGUGAAUCAUCGAAUCUUUGAACGCACAUUGCGCCCGCCAGUAUUCUGGCGGGCAUGCCUGUUCGAGCGUCAUUUCAACCAUCAAGCCCCCGGCUUGUGUUGGGGACCUGCGGCUGCCGCAGGCCCUGAAAACCAGUGGCGGGCUCGCUAGUCACUCCGAGCGUAGUAGUUACAUCUCGCUCAGGGCGUGCUGCGGGUUCCGGCCGUUAAAAAGCCUUAUUUACCCAAGGUUGACCUCGGAUCAGGUAGGAAGACCCGCUGAACUUAAGCAUAUCAAUAAGCGGAGGA